rnacentral:rRNA from 1 species
CCCUUCCCCGUUCGGGGGGACAGGGUGACAGGUGGUGCAUGGUUGUCGUCAGCUCGUGUCGUGAGAUGUUGGGUUAAGUCCCGCAACGAGCGCAACCCCUAUCGUGUGUUGUAUCACUCACACGAGACUGCCGAGAGAAACUCGGAGGAAGGCGGGGAUGACGUCAAGUCAGCAUGGCCCUUACGUCCUGGGCUACACCCACGCUACAAUGGCCGGUACAACGGGCGGCGAAACCGCGAGGUGGAGCAAAUCCCUUAAAGCCGGUCUCAGUUCGGAUUGUAGGCUGCAACUCGCCUGCAUGAAGCCGGAGUUGCUAGUAACCGCCGGUCAGCAUACGGCGGUGAAUAUGUUCCCGGGGCUU